UCCAAAAUCCUGAACCACCCCUUUAAGAAGAUUGUGAGACAGACUAACUGCUUCCGUAACAUUUUGAAGUCUAUGGCAAAAAAACAUCAGUCCAUGAUUGCAUACCAUCUCCAUAGUUCAAAUGUCAAAAAACCUGCAGUGUCUGUGUCAAAGAUGUCCAGAGUGCCAUUAGAGGUUGUAAAUGACAACAUACGAGAAUUUCUAUUACAGAAAUCUCCUGAAGAGACAGCUGUUAAUUUGACAAAACAGGCAGAAUUUCGGGGCACCAGUUACGGUGUUGGCAUGAUCCUGGUAUAUGGCCACACUGGUGGAUUGCCCGACUUUGCUGAAAUACUGCAAAUCAUCAUUGUUCGUGACAGCUUAGUGUUUGUGGUGAAAUUGCAAAGUGCGUGGUACCUUGAGCGUUUCAGAUGUUUCAAGUUAGAGUCCACAAGCAUAGUCAAAGUGAUUGAGCACUCACAACUCACUGACACAUACCCAUUGGCAACUUAUUCAUUGCAAGGUGAUCGAAUGGUUUCUCUGAAACACCACAUCUGCCUGUAAAACUAGUUCUGCUUGCCCAAGAUUAUGAUGUCUGCCCCAACUCAACUACGUGUGAUUAUUGAAGAGACUCAAGUUCACAAGUUGACCCUACCAAAUGGAGUCCCUAGCACUUUAGAUGAACUUUUAGAAGUUGCACAGGGUCAUUUUCAACUCCAAGGGAGCUUUACUGUUAUGUACAUGGACAAAGACUUUGAUAACCAAUUCUUCACUCUAACAUCAACAGAUGUGGUUAAGGACAAAGACACAAUCAAACUAGUUAGAAUGGACGAGUGUGAUUCUGACAUUGACUCCCAUCAACAAGUCAGUUGCUUCCUCUCCUCCAGUGUCACUGGAUGUGUCUUUGCAGGAUGACAAUUCUGGAAUUAGCUCAGCUGACAUUAUCAUUUUACCACAGUCCCCAGAAUGCCGAUCAGAACCAUGGCCAACUAAUUUUCAGAUACCCACCUUUUCAUACGAUGUUGAAAUGCUCCUUAAUGCAGGAAAUAAGGCUUAUGAAAGUGAUGGUUCAUUCCUUCAGAAUCCAACCAUGAACUCAAGCAUACUUGAGAAACUUGCUGACACUGUGUUCUACUACACUGCUUAUCCCACUGGCCGUCAAAGACUGGCAGUUGUAGAAGCUCUGUUAAAAAAGCAUCCAUGCCUAAGGGAGCCUGAUACCUCAUUUUCAGGCAUGUAUGGGUGGCAGCAGCGUCUUACAUACAAGAUGGCUAAUUACCGUAGCAAACUGAAAAGGCUUGAAGUACCUUGUCCUGAGCUUGAUGUCAACUCAUUGAGAAGGAAACUCCCGGGUGAGCGAAAUCCGGCAAAAAAUUGCAAGAGACCGAAGAAGGCAGAGGUGAACUACCUUCCUCCACAUUCAAGUGGAGAAACAAGCGACAGUCUGGAGAUGGAAAGACAGGAACUUCUUAAUGAGGUAAAGAAGAGUAACAACACCAAGGUGAUUCAAGAGAAAAUGGCCAAAACAUUCUCGAUUCGAAGGCUUAAGAUUGUGAGUGAAAGUCCAGCUGCUGAUGACUUCAGAGAGAGAUGGCCUGCUUUGUUGACCUGUUCCAUUGGGCACUAACAAUGUUUCUAUAAUAAAUAUAAUUCCACCAUGAAUAUCUAUAAGGUUUAAAUUCUCUCCUUAUAAUUUGAAUUUUCAUUUAGCACCAGAUUAUUCAUCUCCUUACCUGAUAUUGUAUUUGUGAUUUAUGUCAAUGCAGAUCAAGGAGGAAUUCAGGAGAAUAACCACAAUGUCCCUGGAGCAGAGCUAAGGCCAAGGGAGGUGUUUCGGGACCACGCUGAGACUGUUCUUGUACAGACUAAGUCAGAGUCCUGACCUCAACCCAGGAGAACACCUUUGGGAGGAAUUAGAGCGCAGACUGAGAGACUGUCUCCUCGUCCAACAUCAGUGUGUGACCUCACAAAUGCGCUUCUGGAAGAAUGGUCAAAAAAUCCCAUAAACACACUCCUAAACCUUGUGGAGCCUUUCCAGAAGAGUUGAAGCUGUUAUAGCUGCAAAGAGUGGACUGACGUCAUAUUAAACCCUAUGGAUUAAGAAUGGGAUGUCACUUAAGUUCAUAUGCGCAUCAAGGCAGAACCAAAGCAUUGAGGAGAAACGUGACACUGUUAUCCGCAGCCUCAUUGUGUACCUGGGUGAGAAAGUGGAGGACCUUUUUGAAGAUUGCCAGGAGGACUGCCGCAGUGAUGCCAGGCAACAUGUCCUCAAAAUCCUGGUGGUUCAUGGUGCAGAGGAUCCAGCUGAUGUGGCCAUCGUUGUUGAAGGAAAGAUGAUCGAAGGAUGUGG